rnacentral:rRNA from 1 species
UGCUUAACACAUGCAAGUCGAACGGAAAGGCCCUGCUUUUGUGGGGUGCUCGAGUGGCGAACGGGUGAGUAACACGUGAGUAACCUGCCCUUGACUUUGGGAUAACUUCAGGAAACUGGGGCUAAUACCGGAUAGGAGCUCCUGCCGCAUGGUGGGGGUUGGAAAGUUUCGGCGGUUGGGGAUGGACUCGCGGCUUAUCAGCUUGUUGGUGGGGUAGUGGCUUACCAAGGCUUUGACGGGUAGCCGGCCUGAGAGGGUGACCGGCCACAUUGGGACUGAGAUACGGCCCAGACUCCUACGGGAGGCAGCAGUGGGGAAUAUUGCACAAUGGGCGGAAGCCUGAUGCAGCAACGCCGCGUGCGGGAUGACGGCCUUCGGGUUGUAAACCGCUUUCGCCUGUGACGAAGCGUGAGUGACGGUAAUGGGUAAAGAAGCACCGGCUAACUACGUGCCAGCAGCCGCGGUGAUACGUAGGGUGCGAGCGUUGUCCGGAUUUAUUGGGCGUAAAGGGCUCGUAGGUGGUUGAUCGCGUCGGAAGUGUAAUCUUGGGGCUUAACCCUGAGCGUGCUUUCGAUACGGGUUGACUUGAGGAAGGUAGGGGAGAAUGGAAUUCCUGGUGGAGCGGUGGAAUGCGCAGAUAUCAGGAGGAACACCAGUGGCGAAGGCGGUUCUCUGGGCCUUUCCUGACGCUGAGGAGCGAAAGCGUGGGGAGCGAACAGGCUUAGAUACCCUGGUAGUCCACGCUGUAAACGGUGGGUACUAGGUGUGGGGUCCAUUCCACGGGUUCCGUGCCGUAGCUAACGCUUUAAGUACCCCGCCUGGGGGAGUACGGCCGCAAGGCUAAAACUCAAAGGAAUUGACGGGGCCCCGCACAAGCGGCGGAGCAUGCGGAUUAAUUCGAUGCAACGCGUAGAACCUUACCUGGGUUUGACAUGGAUCGGAAGCGCUCAGAGAUGGGUGUGCCUCUUUUGGGGUCGGUUCACAGGUGGUGCAUGGCUGUCGUCAGCUCGUGUCGUGAGAUGUUGGGUUAAGUCCCGCAACGAGCGCAACCCUUGUUCACUGUUGCCAGCACGUUAUGGUGGGGACUCAGUGGAGACCGCCGGGGUCAACUCGGAGGAAGGUGGGGAUGACGUCAAGUCAUCAUGCCCCUUAUGUCCAGGGCUUCACGCAUGCUACAAUGGCUGGUACAGAGAGUGGCGAGCCUGUGAGGGUGAGCGAAUCUCGGAAAGCCGGUCUCAGUUCGGAUUGGGGUCUGCAACUCGACCUCAUGAAGUCGGAGUCGCUAGUAAUCGCAGAUCAGCAACGCUGCGGUGAAUACGUUCCCGGGGCUUGUACACACCGCCCGUCAAGUCAUGAAAGUUGGUAACACCCGAAGCCGGUGGCCUAACCGUUGUGGGGGAGUCGUCGAAGGUGGGACUGGUGAUUAGGACUAAGUCAUAACA